UACGUAGGCAGCAAGCGUUGUUCGGAGUUACUGGGCGUAAAGGGUGUGUAGGCGGUUGUUUAAGUUUGGUGUGAAAUCUCCCGGCUCAACCGGGAGGUGCGCCGAAUACUGAGUGACUAGAGUGCGGAGAGGAAGUGGAAUUCCUGGAUGAUAGCGGUGAAAUGCGUAGAUAUCAGGAGGAACACCGGUGGUGUAGACGGCUUCUGGACCGUAACUGACGCUGAGACACGAAAGCGUGGGUAGCAAACAGG
rnacentral:rRNA from 1 species